rnacentral:misc_RNA from 1 species
CGGCGAUUAUCAAAGCCAAAUUCCCUUCUCUUUUCCUUUCUGUGAAAAUUUUCCACAAAUUCCUCAAAAUCUAACCUUUCAAACCAAUCAAACAACCUUUAAAAGCAGAAUAGAGCUUCACAUGAUCAACAAAUAACCAAAAACACAGACUCUGUACACAAGAAAACCAGAGAGGAAAUGGCAAUGACACCUCAAGAUAGAUCAAAGCCACUCCACAACUUCUCAUUGCCUUGCUUGAAAUGGGGUCACCAAAGAGUCCUUAGAUGUGUCAAAGUUACAGAUGAUCCUCAUCUUCGAUCUUCCUCUUUGAUUCCUAAUGGAUUGCAACCCAAACCCACCAACCUUGACACCCCCAAGAAUCACAAACCAAUCCCAAUCCAAGAGAAUCGCAUUUCCCCUGAUCUUAGAUUCAAUGGGGGUGCUAAGAGAUUGAAAGUCUCUCCUCUUCUUGAAGAAGAGAGGGGCAAUGAUGAUUCUACCAAGCCUUGGAAUUUGAGGACCAGAAGGGCGGCAUGCAAGGCGCCACUACGGAUAGAAGAGAAGAGAAAUAUUGAUUCUCCGAGGAAAACCUUGGAUAUUGAUUCGCCAAGGAGAAAUGACAGUUCUUUGGUUAAGAGGCAGAGUACGGAGCCCGUGAAGGAGAGAGUCAAGUUUUCGGUUCCCCUUUCAAAGGAGGAGAUUGAGCAAGAUUUCAUGGAGAUUUCUAGGAUUAGGCCGCCCAGAAGACCCAAGAAGAGGCCUCGAAUUGUGCAGAAGUAUUUGGACUCGAUUUUCCCAGGAUUGUGGCUAACAGAAGUUACACCAGAUUCAUACGAGGUUCCAGAAGUACCUGAGUCAUGAAAGCAUGACAGGUGAUACUAUCUAUUCUAAUUUUAUUGUCUUUCAUUUUCUCUUGCAGUAGCUUCCAGAUCAUUUUGUUUGUCCAUUGCUUUUUUUCUUUAAUUCUUUUUUUUUUCAUUCCUUUUUUGGUUAUGUGGGUAGUUUGAAUUCUUAGUUGUGGCAUUGAAAAUUGGUUUUGCAGGGACAGAAAUGAAAGUGUAAUUGUUUUCUGGGGAAUUUCUUUUAUUCUGCUUGCUAACACUGGUGCAUUUGACCUCAAUUAAUGGUAACAUUGCACCAUCUUUGUAAAUUGCAAAUUCAAUAAAAUAAAGUUAUAAAUUCCAGUUGCUUUUUCUAAUUUUUGUUCUUUGAGAUUCUAAUACCAUUACCUAAUUCCAUUGCUUUGUUCUAUGAGAU